rnacentral:tRNA from 1 species
UGGGUUGUGGCUCAGUGGUAGAGCGCUUGCCUAGCAUGAAUGAGGCACUGGGUUCAGUCCUGAGGACCCCAU